AAGGCAGGUAGAUGGUUCCAAAUGGUCCAGCUUGCACAUGAGUCUGAGUAUAAUAUGGAGAACAGGGCCCUUAUGAACCUCCAGCAGCAAGUUUCUUUAAAUACACAGCCCUGGGAGAGGGGAGCACUGGCUCCAGUGGAGAUCUUCCUGGAAGUCUUCCAGGGCCACAGCUUGUAAGAGAAGACUCGCUCAGACCGCAGGAAACAAGCCUGUAGUGAGGCCGGACUUCCAGGGUAGGGGAUGUCUCAUAUCAGGACAGGCUCCCAGCCUUCCCUUACUCCUAGAAAUGGAACUGUUUGUCCUGUCUUCUCAUCCCCAAGCAGGGGCUGGGCAAAGGGUUGGGGGAGAAUGAAUAAGGUGUGUGCUCUGUUCUACUGCUCACCUGAGAGGUGGCCACCCUGUGCUGACCUUGGCCUACUGAUGUGUCACAGAGUGAGCUUGGCAAAGGCUGCAUCACAUGUAAGUGUGUUUUUAAGAGUCUAAAGAAUAUACACUAAAAUGUUAA